rnacentral:rRNA from 1 species
GCUAGUAAUCGCGGAUCAGAAUGCCGCGGUGAAUACGUUCCCGGGUCUUGUACACACCGCCCGUCACACCAUGGGAGUCGGAAAUGCCCGAAGUCAGUGACCCAACCAUACGGAGGGAGCUGCCGAAGGCAGGUCCGGUAACUGGGGUGAAGUCGUAACAAGGUAGC